GUGCGUCUGGCGUAGUUGCUUAUCGCACUCGCUUAGCAUACCAGAAUUGAAAUGGAGAGCUUGCGAGAGGGUCCGGUUCAAUCCUGGAGACGUCCA